GUUGAGAGAAAGGGAAGAAUAAAAGGGGAGCUUACUGGCCUAAAGUUUCUUUCAUCCCCUUUGUUUCUUAAAAGAAUAGAAGAGCAAAUGGAGUUUAUUUUUCUUCCAGUAGCAGACAGAUCAAAUGAGGCCCCUGCCGCUCCCCUCCCCCGACACACACAAAUCACUGCCCGCGCACUGAGACUCCCCUGCACCUGUUGUUGUAAAUCUCCACUGACCCAAGCCAGCAUUGCUGUUCCUGAAAUUUAAGCUGCCACUAAAUGAGGCCCUUAUCUAUCACUUUUCUGUAUUUUCUUUUGGAGGCAGCAUGGGUUAGCGUGCGGGUUAGCCAUGCCUAAUUCAGAGAAUUAUGGACGCAGUCAGCAAGAGCUGCCAAUGGGCCUGUGGCAAGAAAGAGAAGGGCAGACUUCAGUGUCUCCAUAACCCUGAGCCUGGUGAACAGCAGAGUCUACUUCCAGGGAAAGAAAACCUGACAGAGAAACACUCUGCCUCUAAGGGGUGGAGUCAGGCACACUCCUCUUUGUACUUCAUGGGGUCAGCUACAGUCUGA
rnacentral:lncRNA from 1 species